GACGAACCGUGCGAACGUUGUUCGGAAUCACUGGGCUUAAAGGGCGCGUAGGCGGGCAUUCAAGUCGGUGGUGAAAUCCUCCAGCUUAACUGGAGAAGAGCUGUCGAUACUGGAUGUCUCGAGGGGUGCAGGGGUCUGCGGAACUUCGGGUGGAGCGGUGAAAUGCGUAGAGAUGUGGAGGAACACCAGUGGCGAAGGCGGCUCUUUGGUCUGUAACUGACGCUGAGGCGCGAAAGCGUGGGGAGCGAACAGG
rnacentral:rRNA from 1 species